rnacentral:misc_RNA from 1 species
GAUGAAGAACGUAGCGAAAUGCGAUACUUGGUGUGAAUUGCAGAAUCCCUUGAACCAUCGAGUCUUUGAACGCAAGUUGCGCCCGAAGCCAUUAGGCCGAGGGCACGCCUGCCUGGGCGUCACACGUCGUUGCCCCCCCAUCUACUCCUUCGGGAUUGCGGGGGGCGGAUGAUGGCCUCUCGUGCGCCUCGUCGCGCGGUUGGCCUAAAUGCCAAGUCCUCGGCGACGCACGCCACGACAAUCGGUGGUUGCGAAACCUCGGUUGCCUGUCGUGUGCGGUCGUCGCGCAUCGAGGGCUCGAAAAAAUUGCCGGGCUUCGGCUCGACUUUCAACGCGACCCCAGGUCAGGCGGGGUUACCCGCUGAAUUUAAGCAUAUCAAUAAGCGGAGGA